rnacentral:rRNA from 1 species
CAGCAGCCGCGGGAAAACGGAGGGGGCUAGCGUUGUUCGGAAUUACUGGGCGUAAAGCGCACGUAGGCGGCUUGGUAAGUUAGAGGUGAAAGCCUGGAGCUCAACUCCAGAAUUGCCUUUAAGACUGCCGAGCUAGCAGGUGAGAGAGGUAAGUGGAAUUCCGAGUGUAGAGGUGAAAUUCGUAGAUAUUCGGAAGAACACCAGUGGCGAAGGCGGCUUACUGGCUCAUACUGGACGCUGAGGUGCGAAAGCGUGGGGAGCAAACAGGAUUAGAUACCCCAGUAGUCCCUGUCUCUUAUAC